GUGAACGCUGGCGGUAGGCCUAACACAUGCCAGUCGAACGGCAGCACCGUAAGAGCUUGCUCUUACGGGUGGCGAGUGGCGGACGGGUGAGGAAUACAUCGGAAUCUACUUUUUCGUGGGGGAUAACGUAGGGAAACUUACGCUAAUACCGCAUACGACCUACGGGUGAAAGCAGGGGAUCUUCGGACCUUGCGCGAUUGAAUGAGCCGAUGUCGGAUUAGCUAGUUGGCGGGGUAAAGGCCCACCAAGGCGACGAUCCGUAGCUGGUCUGAGAGGAUGAUCAGCCACACUGGAACUGAGACACGGUCCAGACUCCUACGGGAGGCAGCAGUGGGGAAUAUUGGACAAUGGGCGCAAGCCUGAUCCAGCCAUACCGCGUGGGUGAAGAAGGCCUUCGGGUUGUAAAGCCCUUUUGUUGGGAAAGAAAAGCAGCAGGUUAAUACCCCGCUGUUCUGACGGUACCCAAAGAAUAAGCACCGGCUAACUUCGU
rnacentral:rRNA from 1 species